GACGUAGGGGCCGAGCGUUGUCCGGAGUUACUGGGCGUAAAGCGCGCGCAGGCGGCGCAUCUGGCCCGGCGUGAAGGCCCCCGGCUCAACCGGGGAGGGUCGUCGGGGACCGGUGCGCUUGAGGGCGGUAGGGGCUGGUGGAAUUCCCGGUGUAGUGGUGAAAUGCGUAGAGAUCGGGAGGAACACCCGUGGCGAAGGCGGCCAGCUGGGCCGACCCUGACGCUGAGGCGCGAAAGCUAGGGGAGCGAACGGG
rnacentral:rRNA from 1 species